GAUGAACGCUGGCGGCGUGCCUAACACAUGCAAGUCGAACGGGGAGUGCAGCAAUGUACUCUUAGUGGCGGACGGGUGAGUAACACGUAGGUGACCUGCCCCGAAGCGGGGGAUAACUGCGGGAAACUGCAGCUAAUACCGCAUAAUUUGCUUUGAGCGGGAGCGAAGAGCAAGAAAACUAUGGUGCUUUGGGAGGGGCCUGCGGUCGAUUAGCUAGUUGGCGGGGUAAAGCCCACAAGGCGAUGAUCGAUAGCUGUUUUGAGAGGAAGACCAGCCACACGGGAACUGAGACACGGUCCCGACUCCUACGGGGGGCAGCAGUGAGGAAUAUUGCACAAUGGGGGAAACCCUGAUGCAGCAACGCCGCGUGAAGGAUGAAGGUCUUC
rnacentral:rRNA from 1 species